GCUGGAUGUCUCUUUGCUCCUUAAGCCUUCUGAAGGCAUUUUGUGAUACAGCGUUAUACCUGGGUGAAAGAAAGAAAAAAGAAAACAACAAUCUGCUCACAGGAGAUGGCAGGAGCUCCCAGCAAGGAGGAAGAGAUGUAAGCACGCAGUGUCAGCCUCAUGCUUCUCUUCCAAGGUCCAAUGAGGACUGAAGCACAGGCAGUGCUGAUGCAGUGGGGAACUCAGCUCCCACGCACCGGAAGGUUUGGAAGCAUCAAGCUCUAUUUUAAGUGUGCUGUUUUGUUAGCAUACCAUAAACCACAGAAAGUGUUAUGAGCCUGAGGGGGGGGGGAGAGAGCUUUGUGCCCCUGGCAAGGUUGAAAAGCCAGCUAGCUUUCCUUUCCUUCAGGGAGCUGUGUUGGAGUAUAUUCCUUUUUUUCUAAUGCUUUUGGAGUUUUGUUUCUUCCACCACUAAAUGCAUCACAGCAAAAGCCAAUUCAGUAGUAAGAAUAAGCACUUUGUAGUGUAUAUACCUUUCAGUGCUCUUCACAAUGACCUAGAAGAUGAAUUGAACGAUGAGGUGAUGAAACUAAGCAAGAAGCCGUAGACUGGACGAAUAUCUGGAAGGAUUUAAUAAAGCUGGAUGAUAAACAUAUGAAAAUCAUGAAAAUGCAUUGGGGGGGAAAAUUGUUGCUCACAUGCAAUGAUGAAUUCUGAAUUAGCUGCAACUUCUCAAAUGAAAAGACUUGCUGUUAUGGGUAGUGCAAGGUCUAAUAUGUGAUGCAGAAGAAAGCAGCAAGAACCUGGAGCAUAUUAAUAAUGGGUGGGGGACUGAACUUCUGCACAGUGCAUCUUCCUGAAGCUACUAAAAUGCAACAAAUGUUGCAUUUAAUUUAAAUAAGAGAAACUGCUCCUGACUAAACUUCCUAAGAUUAGUACCAUUUUCACAAUCUAAAUGGGUAAUGAGUUGUGCUGGUCAGAGAGAGAGAGUUUUCUCUAAAGAGAAAACCUUUUUAGUAACUUAGAGAAAAGUAUAGCCACUGGGAAAAUUGUUUAGUAGAGAUCUUGUCUUCAUUGCCAUCUUUGUUGCCAAAAUCUGUUAUAAUUUGGUUCCUUUGCAUUAGAAAAAGUGUGUGAAACUAUCCUUUACUUUGACUGGAGAAUAAUCAACACCAAAGUUUCUGUUUAUAUACAUGUAUGUAAAGAGAGCAGGAAGGCUGGCCUUGAUAAGAGAUUAAAAUGAAAGGAUUAAAAUGCUAUUAUACGGAAAUAAAUAUGAAUUCAUGGGUUUCAAAUGCCUGAAUUAUAAUAAUGGCUGGAAUGUUUAGCACUGUUUUCCUAGGCAACAGAGGAUGUUUACGGUAUCAACAUUUGAAUCUUAAAUUCAUUAUGAUGUUAUGCCAUUGCGUUUUAGAACAGCUGAUGAUAUUUAUCUUUGAGAUGAAAGCUUUGCCCUGCAGAGGCUCACCAUCAGAUAUUUACUACUUGCAGAACAUUAGACUUGGUGCAGGUUUGGCUGCUUUUUUGGGUGUCACUCUUGUGAUCAAAUUGGGACAAAUGUGACUGUGCCCCCAGAGGUAAUACCUGCAGUGCUGGCUAGGAGCAGUAACCAGAAGCUGGAAGGGGGGAGCGUGUGCCUCUUGGGCAUCAAAAUACUGCACUAUAACUUUGACUCUUCAUAAAUAUGAAUGUGGAAUUCACCUCUGUGCAAAGGAUUAGCCAAGACUCCUCACAGGAGCAAAAUUCACCCUGAAGCAUUGUGUCAUUAAGCUGAAGAACUAAAAAUAUAUCACAGAACCAUAAUGAAUUUAGGCUUUCCCUGUAGGUAAGAAUAUACUACUGCCCUGUUGCAGAUAGGUUAAUUAUUAUUUAGUGGGGUAAUUGUUCUCUGAAAGGUCAUAUUUCAUCGCACAAAGAAACCUUGAAAAUGAAACUAAGGUUCCUUACUCUCAAUAUUUGUUUCUACAUAAUAUGUAUUUGUUGAUCUGGUUUUGGCUCUGGAGUAAAAGUUUUUUCUUUGGUGUACAAGGGUGAAUAUUGCUGGGCGUGUGCUGCAUGGACACAGGUUUAGAGUAUUUUCAAUAGCAACAACUGCACAGGCACUCUGUUUGUUUCACUUUCAGGAUGCUUGGCUUGUCUUUAACAACCAUCUAUUUGUUUAAAAAAAACACACACAAAAAAAACAACAAAAAACCCACUUCUUUCUGAAGCAAAAAACAUCAUUUUCAAAUAGAGGGUCUAAAUGUCACGUUUUGAAAGCAGCACAUUCUGAAUUCUUUCUCCCUACUUCUGGCAGAAAUGUUUCAGUCACUCUUGCCAAAACUGUGUGUUACAGCAAAUUUAUUAGAUGUUAAAAACUGAUAUUAGCCCAAUUUUACCUUGCACUGAAACAACAGAGGUUCCCCAGCUUUCUCUUUCUGGUUAUUCGUUUGGAAUCCUGAGCUCCCUACUACUGCCCACACAGCUCUACUCGAGAAAUGAAGUCCUGGUGAAACAAGUUACGUCUUGUCUAAUCACUGAGAGAAUUAUGCAUAUGAAGACCUUAGUAAAUGUCUGUAUGUGUUAUACAGUAGAUCUGCUGGUCUUUUGGCAAGUUAAAAACAUGUUCUUCCAGGACCAAUGAGAACUGGUCCAAAGAUGCUGGAUUUCAGUAUCCAGGUGGCCCAUGGCCUCUGGCUUGGGCUCUCUGCACCUCUUGAUCAUGAGCUGUCUAGAGAUGUCUGUGAAAUAAAGUUUGUUAAAAUAGUCUAGUGCACAUUUGGUCUUUUCCAGAUGUUCACCAGAGCACAGGGAAGAGCUGACAUUACAUAGCCAAAUAGAGGCAAAUGGUUGGUACUUUUGUACAGUGGUUGAAGCUGCUAGAUUCAUGGUAUCAGCCAUAGUGAGCUUCCUUUUUAGCAGAUAUCAGUGCUUCUAAACAGAUCCAGAUGACCACUGAAGGUUUACCCUUUGAAGGAAUGGAGUACUCCAGCUUCAACAGCUGCGAGGCAUUAUGUUUUCAA